rnacentral:rRNA from 1 species
GAUGAACGCUGGCGGCGUGCCUAAUACAUGCAAGUCGAGCGAAGCGGGGACGGGUGAGUAACACGUGGCUAACCUCCUAUAAGACUGGGAUAACUUCGGGAAACCGGAGCUAAACCGGAUCCUUAUAGUUAGACCCGCGCUGCAUUAGCUAGUUGUUAAGGUAACGGCUUACCAAGGAAACGAUGCAUAGCCGACCUGAGAGGGUGAUAGGCAACAAUGGAACUGAGACACGGUCCAGACGCCUACGGGAGGCAGCAGUAGGGAAUAUUCCACAAUGGGCGAAAGCCUGACGGAGCAACGCCGCGUGAGUGAAGAAGGUCUUCGAAUCGUAAAACUCUGUUAUUAGGGAAGCGGUACCUAAACAAAAAGCAACGGCUAACUACGUGCCAGCCGCCGCGGUAAUAC